rnacentral:rRNA from 1 species
CCUACGGGUGGCAGCAGUGGGGAAUAUUGCACAAUGGGGGAAACCCUGAUGCAGCGACGCCGCGUGAGUGAAGAAGUAUUUCGGUAUGUAAAGCUCUAUCAGCAGGGAAGAUAAUGACGGUACCUGACUGAGAAGCCCCGGCUAACUACGUGCCAGCAGCCGCGGUAAUACGUAGGGGGCAAGCGUUAUCCGGAUUUACUGGGUGUAAAGGGAGCGUAGGUGGCAGGGCAAGUCAGAUGUGAAAACCCGGGGCUCAACCCCGGGAGUGCAUUUGAAACUGUCCAGCUGGAGUGCAGGAGAGGUAAGCGGAAUUCCUAGUGUAGCGGUGAAAUGCGUAGAUAUUAGGAGGAACACCAGUGGCGAAGGCGGCCUGCUGGACGACAACUGACGGUGAGGCGCGAAAGCGUGGGGAGCAAACAGGAUUAGAUACCCCAGUAGUC